GAAGUAGUGCCCGUACCGCAAACCGACACAGGUAGGUGAGGAGAGAAUCCUAAGGCCGGCGGAAGAAUUACAGUUAAGGAACUCGGCAAAUUGACCCCGUAAGUUCGCGAGAAGGGGUGCCUACGAGAGUAGGCCGCAGAGAAUAGGCCCAAGCAACUGUUUAGCAAAAACACAGGUCUCUGCUAAAGCGUAAGCUGAUGUAUAGGGGCUGACGCCUGCCCGGUGCUGGAAGGUUAAGGGGAACACUUAGCGCAAGCGAAGGUGUGAACUUAAGCCCCAGUAAACGGCGGCCGUAACUAUAACGGUCCUAAGGUAGCGAAAUUCCUUGUCAGGUAAGUUCUGACCCGCACGAAUGGCGUAAUGACUUGGGCACUGUCUCAACUGUAAAUCCGGCGAAGUUGUAGUGCGAGUGAAGAUGCUCGCUACCCGCGAUUGGACGGAAAGACCCCGUAGAGCUUUACUGUAGCUUAGCAUUGAGUUUUGGUAUUGUCUGUACAGGAUAGGUGGGAGACUAGG
rnacentral:rRNA from 1 species